GGGUUGGUGGCCCCGGGAGCUUCCACCUGAGUGGCUGGUGGGAUUCCGGGGCGCUGCUAUGGAGGGGUGUAGCGAGCCACAGCUGGAUGCUAAGGCCAAGGUCACCAACCAGCUCAUAGAUUUUCAGUGGAAGCUGGGUAUGGCUGUGAGCUCAGACAGCUGCAGGUCACUUAAGUAUCCUUAUGUUGCAGUGAUACUCAAAGUGGCAGAUCCUUCAGGCCAAGUAAAGAACAAGUCCUUCGAAAUGACAAUUCCGCAGUUUCAGAAUUUCUACAGACAGUUCAAGGAAAUUGCUGCAGUUAUUGAAACUGUGUGAAAACUGAUUACUUGGUUGAUGAAUUGCUACUAUCAUUCUAAAAUCAUGGACUUUACUUUCUGCAACAAAACUGCCUAAGGAUCAAAUGAUAUUUAUUGAAUGAAAAUUACACUUUUGGUUUUCCAUUUUUUUAAACAAUAAAAAAGAAAAUCAGACAAACAGGAAUUACAAAGUGGUGAUCGCUGCACACUUUGUGAAUGUACUAAGAGCCACUGAAUUGGAAACUUUAAAGGGUGAAGAACUCUGUGCUCUCUCCCGUGUUGACUGCUGGAAAUGAAGAGAUCUGAGAUAGGGAAACCAUAAGAUGGAGCCCCUGAAUCACGAUUGGAGGCAAACUCAUAGUAACAGCCUGACUUGCACCAGUGAUGUGAGCUAGAAACAAACAAACAAACUCUUGUUGUGGUAAGCUGAUGAGAUUUUUAGAGUGUUCGUUACAACAGCAAGUGAGCAUAAACUUGAAUAACACAAGAUAUUUGUAUGAAGAUUUUUAUUGUAGCAUUUCCCCAAGUGGUGAAAAGUAAAAUAAAGGGAGCAGUGACUGUCAAUAAAGAAAUGGUUGAAUAAAUUCAUCAUAUCUAUGUUACAGCAUAUCAUAUACCUGCCGUUAUCAAUAUGUAUUAACAAUACAUUUGCUAUUAUCAACACAUAUUGUUUCAUAAAACUGUAAAAUGCACUCAAUAUAUAUUUGAAUUCUUAAUGGAAAAUGAGGAAAAUUAAGGAGAGAUAUUUACCAUGCUGUAAGCAUUGAUGGAGAGGGUAUCUGGAGAGGGAGAGGAAGAGCAGUUAAAAAAAUUUUUUUAAAUCCA